CUUUCUCACCCAAGUCUCAAACCCUACCUCCUCAUUUCUACAAGUCGCUGACUUCAGACUUCUCCUCCAUGGCGAUUUCACGAUUUGCCUGAGACCAAGGUUUGUACACCAUGAACCGUGAACCACCAUGCACCACCGCAAACCGUUGACAACUGCAGGCGAGUCUCUCUCUCUCUCUCUCUCUCUCAGAUUACAAACCGUAAUCACCGUAUUGUAUCGUAAUCACCAUUAUCACCAUAUUGAAGCUUCAAAUUAGGGCUUUUGCCUUUUGGUCAAAAUAUUACAAGACGUCAAGACCUGUUAGGGCUUUUGAUUUCAGGCAAGUUGGGGCUUCUAUUGAACCGUUAACACUAUUUUUCUAGUGUCUCCUAACAUUCUAUAAUGAGGUGCACGAAUGAAUUGGUUAGAGACCAGAGCAUCUUAAACAAACAGAAGUUGAGUUUAUAUUCUGCUUUUUAGUAUUAUCUAUACCUUCUCUUUUAAAAGUACGAAGCCUUAACAUCUCCUUUUGUCUUUGCCACAAAUGCCCUCCCCAAACCCGUUAAAUACCUGCCCCAUUCAACACUGGUUCUUAACAAUGCACCCAUUCUACUCCAUGUGGUGUGGAUGUUUGUAUGUAACCUGUCCCAUUUGACACUGAUU